GGGGCUAUAGCUCAGUGGUAGAGUGCAUGCUUGGCAUGCACUAGGUCCUGGGUUCAAUCCCCAGUGCCUCUG
rnacentral:tRNA from 1 species